UACAGAGGGUGCGAGCGUUAAUCGGAAUUACUGGGCGUAAAGCGUGCGUAGACGGCUAUCUAAGUCGGGUGUGAAAGCCCCGGGCUCAACCUGGGAAUUGCAUUCGAGACUGAAUAGCUAGGGUACGGUAGAGGGAAGCGGAAUUUCCGGUGUAGCGGUGAAAUGCGUAGAUAUUGGGAAGAACACCGGUGGCGAAGGCGGCCAUCUGGACCGCAACUGACGCUGAGGCGCGAAAGCGUGGGGAGCAAACAGG
rnacentral:rRNA from 1 species